rnacentral:rRNA from 1 species
UACGAAGGGGGCUAGCGUUGUUCGGAUUUACUGGGCGUAAAGCGCACGUAGGCGGAUCGUUAAGUCGGGGGUGAAAUCCUGGAGCUCAACUCCAGAACUGCCUUCGAUACUGGCGAUCUUGAGUCCGGAAGAGGUGAGUGGAACUCCUAGUGUAGAGGUGGAAUUCGUAGAUAUUGGGAAGAACACCGGUGGCGAAGGCGGCUCUCUGGACCGAGACUGACGCUGAGGCGCGAAAGCGUGGGGAGCAAACAGG